rnacentral:rRNA from 1 species
GUGCCAGCAGCCGCGGUAAUACGAAGGGUGCAAGCGUUAAUCGGAAUUACUGGGCGUAAAGCGUGCGUAGACGGCCUGUUAAGUCGGAUGUGAAAGCCCCGGGCUCAACCUGGGAAUGGCAUCCGAUACUGAUGGGCUAGAGUGCGGUAGAGGAGAGCGGAAUUCCCGGUGUAGCGGUGAAAUGCGUAGAGAUCGGGAGGAACAUCCGUGGCGAAGGCGGCUCUCUGGACCAGCACUGACGUUGAGGCACGAAAGCGUGGGGAGCAAACAGGAUUAGAAACCCGUGUAGUCC